GGUGAUAUUGUCGGCUUUGUUUGCAAUAUACAUGCUCAGGUUAAAUACUGUGACACAUACUUUGAAAAUAUCAUACUGUAAUAAAUCACCACCCGUACCAGUUAUUAAAGAAUGUAGCUUUCACUCAACUCUGAAUACAAAUAAAAACACGAAAAUAAUUUAUAGUAAUAGGCGUACAUAUAUCAAAUACUGACAAUCUACAGUGUUCUGUAAACUUAAUUCAUGUGUACUUCAGAUAAAACACAGAAAAAAAAAUCAUAUAAUGAAGUCUUGCUACAUGUAUAUGCAAGUAUACUAUAGAUCAUCUCUGUAGAAACAUUUAAUACUUGUCAUCUACAGCGUAUCUAUCUAGACGUUUGAGAUCCAUUCUUUUCCCCUGUUUCUCGCUUUUUCUCCUUUUUUUUCAUGUCACCUCGCCACACAUAUUCAUUAUUUUUGCAGUGACGUAAUUGAUAAUUUUUCUUCGUAUCAAACUUUUCUAAAACAAUUUUGUCACAUACCUUUAAUAAUAUUUAUCAAACAUAUUUGUGGUAUAUUCAUAUUUAUUAUUAUUUUUUUUCAAAAAAUCAACAGAUUGAAUUUAAUCUUGUGUGCGUGCCCUAAUGUCGAAACAGUUAAAAUAAAGCCUAGUAAAUGUG
rnacentral:sRNA from 1 species